rnacentral:rRNA from 1 species
UACGUAGGGGGCAAGCGUUAUCCGGAUUUACUGGGUGUAAAGGGAGCGUAGGCGGCGAUGCAAGUCAGAAGUGAAAGCCCGGGGCUCAACUCCGGGACUGCUUUUGAAACUGUGUUGCUAGAUUGCAGGAGAGGUAAGUGGAAUUCCUAGUGUAGCGGUGAAAUGCGUAGAUAUCACGCAGAACCCCGAUUGCGAAGGCAGCAUACCGGUGCACAACUGACGCUCAGGCACGAAAGCGUGGGUAUCGAACAGG